CCUACGGGAGGCAGCAGUGAGGAAUAUUGGUCAAUGGACGAGAGUCUGAACCCGCCAAGUAGCGUGAAGGAUGACUGCCCUAUGGGUUGUAAACUUCUUUUAUAAAGGAAUAAAACGAGGCACGUGUGCCUUUUUGCAUGUACUUUAUGAAUAAGGAUCGGCUAACUCCGUGCCAGCAGCCGCGGUAAUACGGAGGGUGCGAGCGUUAAUCGGAAUUACUGGGCGUAAAGCGCUCGCAGGCGGUAUGUUAAGUCAAGGGUGAAAUCCCCGCGCUCAACGUGGGAACUGCCUUUGAAACUGGCAAACUGGAGUGUGUGAGAGGAUAGUGGAAUUCCAGGUGUAGGAGUGAAAUUCGUAGAUAUCGGGAGGAACAUCAGUGGCGAAGGCGACAAGCUGGCACAUAACUGACGCUGAGGAGCGAAAGCGUGGGUAGCAAACAGGAUUAGAUACCCCUGUAGUC
rnacentral:rRNA from 1 species